rnacentral:rRNA from 1 species
UGGGGAAUUUUGGACAAUGGGCGAAAGCCUGAUCCAGCAAUGCCGCGUGUGUGAAGAAGGCCUUCGGGUUGUAAAGCACUUUUGUCCGGAAAGAAAUCCUUGGCUCUAAUACAGUCGGGGGAUGACGGUACCGGAAGAAUAAGCACCGGCUAACUACGUGCCAGCAGCCGCGGUAAUACGUAGGGUGCAAGCGUUAAUCGGAAUUACUGGGCGUAAAGCGUGCGCAGGCGGUUUGCUAAGACCGAUGUGAAAUCCCCGGGCUCAACCUGGGAACUGCAUUGGUGACUGGCGGGCUAGAGUAUGGCAGAGGGGGGUAGAAUUCCACGUGUAGCAGUGAAAUGCGUAGAGAUGUGGAGGAAUACCGAUGGCGAAGGCAGCCCCCUGGGCCAAUACUGACGCUCAUGCACGAAAGCGUGGGGAGCAAACAGGAUUAGAUACCCUGGUAGUCCACGCCCUAAACGAUGUCAACUAGUUGUUGGGGAUUCAUUUCCUUAGUAACGUAGCUAACGCGUGAAGUUGACCGCCUGGGGAGUACGGUCGCAAGAUUAAAACUUAAAUGAAUUG